GAUUGGAAUGACGUCUGUCGAGCUUGCUCACAGGCACAUCAUAUCCAUAACACCUGUGCACUUGUCGGAUGGCUUAGUGAAGACCGCAAGGUUGGAACUAUCCGUCUACUUUACAUAACAAUUCUGUAACAAAUGUAGUCUUAUUAUAACAUAAUAAAACUUUCAACAACGGAUCUCUUGGCUCUCGCAUCGAUGAAGAACGCAGCGAAAUGCGAUAAGUAAUGUGAAUUGCAGAAUUCAGUGAAUCAUCGAAUCUUUGAACGCACCUUGCGCUCCUUGGUAUUCCGAGGAGCAUGCCUGUUUGAGUGUCAUGAAAACCCUCAACCUUAGAUUGGUUAAAACCUUUCUUUGGCUUGGAUUUGGACGUUUGCCGAUGAUAAGUCGGCUCGUCUUAAAAGUAAUAGCUGGAUCUGUCUCGCGACAUGGUUUGACUUGGCGUAAUAAGUAUUUCGCUAAGGACAUCUUCGGAUGGCCGCGUUGCAAGACUAAAGACCGCUUUCUAAUCCAUUGAUCUUCGGAUUAAUAUUCUUGACAUCUGGCCUCAAAUCAGUAGGACUACCCGCUGAACUUAAGCAUAUCAAUAAGCGGAGGAAAGAUCUUAAUGAUUGAACGUCUGUCGAGCUUGCUCACAGCACAUCAUAUCCAUAACACUGUGCACUUGUCGGAUGGCUUACGAAACGACGGUUGAAACUAUCGUCUACUGUACUACAUUCUGUACAAUGUAGUCUUAUUAUACUAUUAACUUUCACUACCGAUCCUUGCCCUCCAUCGGUGAAAACAACGAAUGCGCUCAUAUGGUGAAUGCGAAUCUGGAAUCUCGAUCUUUGAACGCCCUUGCCUCCUUGGUAUCGGGAACAUGCUGUUGAGUGCUGAAAACCUCAACUUAGAUUGUCAAACUCUCUUUGCUUGAAUUGGAGUUUGCCGAUCGAAAACCGCGUCCUAAACGAAAUACUGGAAUCACUCCGCGACAGGGUUGGAUCUGGCGCAAAAAAGUAUUUUCUCAGGACAUCUUGCAGAGGCGCGUUGCCAAAAUAAAGACCGUUUCACCUUUGUUGGGAUAAUGUUCUUGGAUCUGGGGCCCCACCGGGCGAAAUCGCUGCACAUAUACACUCUAUCAUCUAUAACGCGGGAGAAA
rnacentral:rRNA from 1 species